rnacentral:rRNA from 1 species
UGGGGAAUAUUGCGCAAUGGGCGAAAGCCUGACGCAGCGACGCCGCGUGGGUGAUGAAGGCCUUCGGGUCGUAAAGCCCUGUCGGGAGGGACGAAACCUCGGUGACCUAAUAUGUCACCGACCUGACGGUACCUCUUAAGGAAGCACCGGCUAACUCCGUGCCAGCAGCCGCGGUAAUACGGAGGGUGCGAGCGUUGUUCGGAAUUACUGGGCGUAAAGCGCGUGCAGGCGGUCUCUUAAGUCUGGGGUGAAAGCCCGGGGCUCACCCCCGGAAGGGCACUGGNGACUGGGAGGCUAGAGUACCGGAGAGGAAGGUGGAAUUCCUGGUGUAGCGGUGAAAUGCGUAGAUAUCAGGAGGAACACCGGUGGCGAAGGCGGCCUUCUGGACGGCUACUGACGCUGAGACGCGAAAGCGUGGGGAGCAAACA